CAGAUCAGUCAAUACCCAGCAUGCCAGGCCAAGAGGGCCAGCCUUAAGGAAAAAUCACAGUACAACCCAAUAGAGGUAUCUGAGCUGUUUGAGCUGGUGGGAAUGGAUCUUCUCAAGCUCACUGUCACUGACACAUCCCGGGGGUUAAGAAAGAUGAGCAUCAUUAUUCAAAUUCUAACAAUGUCUUAUUCAGAAUGUUAAGUUCAUUUUAACAACUGGACUUUUUGUAGCUGGAUGCUGCAAAAUAUGAUGUACUUAUUGGAGCAGUUUGCAAGGACGGACACUGGACGCUGGUGGCUAUGUACCCCAAGGAGCGUUUGUUGACCCUUUUGGUGCCACCAGUGCCCAGGUGAAGAAAUGCAAUGAAAUGACAAGGUCCGGGUCCGUAUAGGACAGCUUCUGGGUCCGGACCUGGACUGCGCUUAGUGACCUCUGAUGUAGAGCCUUCAUCAGAAGGAGGAACAUAAACAUCUCCAAGUGGUCGUGUGAUACAAUUUCUCAUCCCCACCAACAUGACACUACAUAAUGUGGGGUGCUGGUGUGUGUUUUCCAGUUUGUCAGUUAAUCCAUCUCUUUCAAUGAGACAAUUUACUUCAAUCUGUAUUCAAGGUGGCAGUGCAUAUAUUAAGGGGACAGAGGGCAGACUUUCCGGUUGACAUGGAGGCAGUCAACCAAAUGAGAAUGAAAAUGGCCCAAAUGCUGAUUUCCGAGUCAGAUGCAAUGGAGGAUGUUUGCCAUUUCUGUAGGGAGAAAAGCCCAGGAAUGACUGCACAGACCCAUGUUGACUGGAGAAAGAAGAAGAGAGAAUCAGAGAGGGGAUGGAGACAGAGGACGGUGGGCCAGUAAAACAGAAUAUAUUCU